rnacentral:misc_RNA from 1 species
GAUGAAGAACGUAGUGAAAUGCGAUACGUAAUGUGAAUUGCAGAAUUCAGUGAAUCAUCGAAUCUUUGAACGCACAUUGCGCUCUCUGGUAUUCCGGAGAGCAUGCUUGUUUGAGUAUCAGUAAACACCUCAACUCCUUUAUUGUAGUUGGACUUGAGCUAUCCCAACAGGACUUUUUGUUCCUGGCGGGAGGCUUGAAAUGCAGGUGCAGCUGGACUUUCUUCUGAGCUAUAAGCAUAUUUAUUUAAUCCCUUAACACGGAUUAUUACUUGUUUGCUGCAGCUAACAUAAAGGUUGAAUUUCCAUUGAGCUGACUGAUGCAGGAAUUUGGCAAGGAAUUUUUUUAAUGACUUGUUAAACUCGAUCUCAAAUCAAGUAAGACUACCCGCUGAACUUAAGCAUAUCAAUAAGCGGAGGA